CCUACGGGAGGCAGCAGUGGGGAAUUUUGGACAAUGGGCGCAAGCCUGAUCCAGCAAUGCCGCGUGAGUGAAGAAGGCCUUCGGGUUGUAAAGCUCUUUUGUCAGGGAAGAAACGGUGGAGGCUAAUAUCCUUUGCUAAUGACGGUACCUGAAGAAUAAGCACCGGCUAACUACGUGCCAGCAGCCGCGGUAAUACGUAGGGUGCAAGCGUUAAUCGGAAUUACUGGGCGUAAAGCGUGCGCAGGCGGUUUUGUAAGUUUGUCGUGAAAUCCCCGGGCUCAACCUGGGAAUGGCGAUGAAGACUGCAAGGCUAGAAUCUGGCAGAGGGGGGUAGAAUUCCACGUGUAGCAGUGAAAUGCGUAGAGAUGUGGAGGAACACCGAUGGCGAAGGCAGCCCCCUGGGUCAAGAUUGACGCUCAUGCACGAAAGCGUGGGGAGCAAACAGGAUUAGAUACCCUGGUAGUCCACGCCCUAAACGAUGUCUACUAGUUGUCGGGUUUUAAUUAACUUGGUAACGCAGCUAACGCGUGAAGUAGACCGCCUGGGGAUACGGUCGCAAGNUUAAAACCUNAAAUGAAUUGACGNUGAGAGNGCGAGACGACGACGAGGGAGGAGG
rnacentral:rRNA from 1 species